rnacentral:rRNA from 1 species
AGUGAACGCUGGCGGUAGGCCUAACACAUGCAAGUCGAACGGCAGCACAGUAAGAGCUUGCUCUUACGGGUGGCGAGUGGCGGACGGGUGAGGAAUACAUCGGAAUCUACUUUUUCGUGGGGGAUAACGUAGGGAAACUUACGCUAAUACCGCAUACGACCUACGGGUGAAAGCAGGGGAUCUUCGGACCUUGCACGAUUGAAUGAGCCGAUGUCGGAUUAGCUAGUUGGCGGGGUAAAGGCCCACCAAGGCGACGAUCCGUAGCUGGUCUGAGAGGAUGAUCAGCCACACUGGAACUGAGAAACGGUCCAGACUCCUACGGGAGGCAGCAGUGGGGAAUAUUGGACAAUGGGCGCAAGCCUCAUCCAGCCAUACCGCGUGGGUGAAGAAGGCCUUCGGGUUGUAAAGCCCUUUUGUUGGGAAAGAAAAGCAGCAGGUUAAUACCCCGCUGUUCUGACGGUACCCAAAGAAUAAGCACCGGCUAACUUCGUG